GUUUCACUCAGAAUCUAGACCCCUAGUCUCCCUUGCAAGCUAUGGCGGAAAAGGAAUUAAUGGUGACUAGGAUGCUAAAGGAGACCUUUGUCAGUUUAGCAGCGCCCCAAGCUGAGAGUGGCACCAUAGGUGCAGAGCAUCUCCCCACCUAAAGGCAUGUGGGACAUCACCUGCCAAGGGCAUGCUGAGAGACUGCAAGCCUGAAGUGGCCAGGAUAGGCCAGUACUGACCUCCAUCUAUAAGAAGGUUGAGGUGGGCGUGUGGAGAGAGUUGGAAUGCCAUAAACAUCUCCCUCUCGCUUGUCCCAGCAGGAGGAGAAGGAGUACCUUCUCUCACCUUAGUGAGAGAGACUUCGGCUUCAAGGUCUGCUUGGGAGCUUUAUUUGUGUUCCCUGACGUUUGAGGGGCAGAGAGUACUGGGGUCUGAAACAUGCCUGAGAAGUUUAAUAGCAAAGGUUACAAUCUGUGCCUGAAGCAGUGGAAGCGAAGAAGCCAGGGCUGUCCUGGGAGCAAGCUGCUCUGCCACCGCUACUUGGGCACAGAGGAGUGCAUUUUCCCAAGGACCAGUGGACCCAUAGGAUCUUUCGGAAGAACUAUGUCCAGGAGAAUGCCUGGAUGUGGAGCUGGGGCCAAUGUGACCCACCAGAGUGGUGGACCAUACCUUGUCCAGGAAAGAAAGGCAACAGAAUCCCAGAACCUCCAACUGCCAUAUCACUUGGGAGCUGUGAAGAACUUGAUGGUUCAUUAUUGCCAAUUCCUACCUGGAAGCCCACAUUCUUCUCCUGUGAGCCUUUGCCCAAGCCUGGUGGCACCAGUAUGAACUAGCAGACAUCGUGGCUUAGAAGAAAUCCAAACACCAACAAGAUGUUCCUGUGCACUUUUUGCAGACACACCCACAUGUCGUGGGUGAUUCUUAUCUGCUCAGUUGUGUCUGGCUCCCACUGGCAUAGUCUUCCUUCACUCUCCCUACUGUCAGGAAUGUGGCUGGGGAGGGCGUCUGGAAAGAAAACAACGGUUUCAAGUUGCCAUCACAUGUAGAUGCUUGCCGUCAGCCUGCAUUAGGUAGAUGUGUGGGAGUAUUGCUACCGCACUCUUCAUUUAGUUAUAUUAUUAAAGAUAUAUAAACUCUUUGCCCAAGCAAUUCCACAUUUAUGGGUUUAUACUCCACGUAAACUGGAAUCUGUGAGCAAAUGUAUACAAGGACAUUUGUAAAAGCAGAAGAUUGGGAGCAACCAAAUUAUUUAAUUAUGUAAGUGUUGGGUUAAAUAAUUAUGUAGUAUCUAUACAGUGGAAUGUUAUGUGGCCAUUAAUAAGACUGAGGUAGACCUCUAUGUCCCUCUGUGUAAUCAUCUCUAAGAUCUAUGGCAAAAUACAACGCUCGUUUUCAAUUACUGCCUAACAUCCCCAAAUGUAUACUUAUCAUAGUUGCGCUUAUCUAGUGCCCUAAUGGGAGUCAGUUAUGUGGCUUGCUAGGUUUCAUUUAUCCAAACAGGAUCAGAAUGCAGAUCUUUGCCCUUGCAUUUUUGCUGUACAUUUCUAAUCAUCUCUUUAAGAUAGACCUGGCAUUAAAAUAUUUGGUUCAUAAAGCUUACAUCUUUGCUAUUUGGACGCAUGUUGCCAAAUAGCUCUGCAAAGGAUUUGUGCACAUUGACAAUUUCAUCAGCAGAGUAUGAGGGGGUCCAUCCCCCCAGCGCCUUUUUUGUGGUAGGCAGACUUUGAGGAUGGUAGCCAAUGAUCCUUGUCUGCUGGUGACCACCUUUGUGUCAUUCCCUCCUCUUGGGUGUAGGCUGGACCUAGUGAUUUGUCUCUAAGGAACUGAAUAAGGCAAAAGAGAUAAAUGUUUUUCCUAUAACUCUAUCACACAUGACUAUGACUUCGCCUUGCUGGGACUCUCUCUCUUGUUGGCACUUUCUCUUGCCUUCUCAGUUUGCACAUUUUGAGGAAACUAGCUGCUGUACUGGAACAUCCCACCUGCCGAGGAACAGAGGGCAACCUACAGCCAACAGUUAUCAAGGACCUGAGCCCGACACCCACAGGAACUGACUCCUGCCAAUCCCACACGCAGAAGCCUAGACGUGGAUCCUCCGUGCUUGAACUUUUAGACGAGACUGCAGCCACAGCUAACACCUUGAUUAUAGCUCCAGGAAACACUCUGAAGCAGUGCACUCAGCUAAGCCGUGUCUGGACUCCUGGCACACAGAAUCUGUGAGAGAAUAAAUGUGUGCUGCUUCAAGCCCCUAAAUUUUGG
rnacentral:lncRNA from 1 species